CCAGACUCCUACGGGAGGCAGCAGUGGGGAAUAUUGCACAAUGGGCGAAAGCCUGAUGCAGCAACGCCGCGUGAAGGAAGAAGGGUUUCGGCUCGUAAACUUCUAUCAACAGGGACGAAAGAAAUGACGGUACCUGACUAAGAAGCCCCGACUAACUACGUGCCAGCAGCCGCGGUAAUACGUAGGGGGCAAGCGUUAUCCGGAUUUACUGGGUGUAAAGGGGGCGCAGACGGCGAUGCAAGCCAGGAGUGAAAGCCCGGGGCCCAACCCGAGGAUUGCAUUCGGAACUAUCAAGCUAGAGUACAGGAGAGGAAAGCGGAAUUCCUAGUGUAGCGGUGAAAUGCGUAGAUAUUAGGAAGAACACCAGUGGCGAAGGCGGCUUUCUGGACUGAAACUGACGCUGAGGCACGAAAGCGUGGGGAGCGAACAGGAUUAGAUACCCCCGUAA
rnacentral:rRNA from 1 species